GACAGAGGGGGCAAGCGUUGCUCGGAAUUACUGGGCGUAAAGCGCGUGUAGGCGGCUUUGCAAGUCGGAUGUGAAAUCCCACGGCUCAACCGUGGAAGUGCAUCCGAAACUGCAUCGCUGGAGUCUCGGAGAGGAAGGUGGAAUGCUUGGUGUAGAGGUGAAAUUCGUAGAUAUCAAGCAGAACACCUGCGGCGAAGGCGGCCUUCUGGACGAUGACUGACGCUGAGACGCGAAAGCGUGGGGAGCAAACAGG
rnacentral:rRNA from 1 species